GGCCUUUCUAGGAGCCAGCUUGCUUUCAUCUUACUGUUUUGAUUGUGCCUCACAAGGGACAACACUCCGAUUGUCUAGGAGGAGGAAGGUCAGGGACAGAAAAGUAAAAGCCAGGAGCAGCCUGUCCUGUCUGCCUGGGCUGCUGGGGAAUGAUUGUCAGUGAAUCGAGUUGUCUGUGGAGCCCCUGAGCAAAUUCUCCCAGUGGCAGAUCUCGCAAAAGGGGAGGAAGGCCUUCACCGCUGAACCCGAGCUUUGCCAUUUCGAAGUGCUGAGUCACCUCGUCCUCUCAGGGUCAGACACUUUCACGCAGGAAACGUCCUGCAGAGCACCGCAGCGGGAGCACCGAGCUGACCUGGAAGGAGAGAACAAGGGCCUUCCUGAGGCAGGACAAGGACCCAGAACUACCCAGAAUGCAGCAGGGCGGCCCCGCACGACUGAGCUCUGAUCCUAACCUGCAAAGUGAAGUUUCAAUUUCCACUUCCUGAGAAGAUGUGGAAACUCAGAGAGGAUGCCACUGUUUUGAACUAUUUUGAAGGCACAGCCACCAGAGCUUUAGGUCAGAAGAGGUCCUUGGAACUGGAAUUACAGGUGGCUGUGAGCCUCCAGGUAGGUGCUGAGAAUCAAGCAGCCUGGCUCCUCUGUAGGAGCUCUAAGGAAUGCUCUUACCUGCUGAGCCAUCUGUCCAGCCCUGAUUGUCCUGGCUGUUAAUUGAGGAAGGAAGACUUACUCUGAGGGAGGGCUGAGCCAGUCCCCAGGCUGCUCCCUGAAUGGUAUGUAGAGGAGGGGAGCCAGCUAAGCACUGACCAGCGAGGGUGUGCACAUUUUCUUUGGUCUUUGUUUUGAAUGUGGUGUGGCUGGCUGCUUCAAUUCCUGACUUGAUUUCCUCAAAAGGAUAGGCUGUAACCCAGAAUGGUAAACUGCCUU
rnacentral:lncRNA from 1 species